UGUGUAAAUUAGUUUCACUUUCAAUGUGUAAGUUUGCUAGAACUCUGCUAAUAGCUUUGUAGAGGCAAAUUCUUUUUACCUGGCAAUUACCACUUCUGGAACCUCAGAAUUCUUGUUUGCAACAAUAAAGCUUGAAGGAUUCAUAAAUCUCUGCUGUGGAAUUUGUCUGAGUUAAGAUACUCUGCUGGAUUCUACUAAUCUCUGGCUUGUUUGGAAUAUCUGUCCAGCUCAAAAAUGGCUCCAGCGGUUAGAAACAGGUGUUGGAUGGCAGAAUGGCUUUAUGGAAACUUCAAGCAUAUGACAGCUUAAUUUUCUUCAACAAGGCUGUGAGACCAGUUUGCAGGUGAUGCUAAAGUUAUCAGAUCUACAGCACCAGGUGACAUACAGCCAACACUUAGUGUCUAGCUUAUUGUCAAAAGAAAUGUCUGUGCCUCCUUUGCUAAACCAGAUGUAGCAAUGUGAAGCGAGAGGCCAUAAUGUACAGAGGUCUUCACUUCAACUGCGUCUGCUGACAUCCAGGCUGCAAGUUGAUUUUGUUUUAUUUACAGAUGUUCAAGCACUGGACAAAAUGUCUACAUGAAACAUUUCUCCGUUACAUCAGCCCAGCAUAUGUGACCGUGUAUGGAGAGAUGCUCACUUCACCUCUUGUUUACGCAGAAGAAAGGCUUCCACGCUGUCACUAGAUGAUUCUCACUCAUUACAAUGGCACCAUGAUGACGGUUUACAGAUUACAGAGAACCUACCGCCUUUCUGCAGCUAUUGAAUAAUUGGAACACAACUUGUGACUUUAGCCCAGUGACAUUAAGCUAGAUGUAGCAAUGUGAAGCGAGAGGCCAUAAUGUACAGAGGUCUUCACUUCAACUGUGUCUGCUGACAUCCAGGCUGCAAGUUGAUUUUGUUUUAUAUACAGAUCUUCAAGCACUGGACAAAAUGUCUACAUGAAACAUUUCUCCGUUACAUCAGCCCAGCUGGAGUACGUGUGUUUUGUGUAACUGCUGCUCUCACAACUCGUGUACCCAUGGAAAGGGAUUGUCCUUGGCGUUCCUGUUUCAACUAUAAACCUGGCUAUUUUAUAAAAUGCUAAUAAAGUGUUUCUGAUAUCUGUUCUAUUAAUAAAGCUGUGACUGAUUUUA